UCGAGGGCAUAGUGGUUAGCGCGUUUGGCUCGCACCUCCAGGGCUGGGGGUUCGAUUCCCACCUCUAU